rnacentral:rRNA from 1 species
UACGUAGGGUGCGAGCGUUAAUCGGAAUUACUGGGCGUAAAGCGUGCGCAGGCGGUUAUGCAAGACAGAGGUGAAAUCCCCGGGCUCAACCUGGGAACUGCCUUUGUGACUGCAUGGCUAGAGUACGGUAGAGGGGGAUGGAAUUCCGCGUGUAGCAGUGAAAUGCGUAGAUAUGCGGAGGAACACCGAUGGCGAAGGCAGCUCGCUGGGACGUUACUGACGCUGAGACGCGAAAGCGUGGGGAGCAAACAGG